rnacentral:rRNA from 1 species
UGGGGAAUAUUGGACAAUGGGCGAAAGCCUGAUCCAGCAAUGCCGCGUGAGUGAUGAAGGCCUUAGGGUUGUAAAGCUCUUUUACCCGGGAUGAUAAUGACAGUACCGGGAGAAUAAGCCCCGGCUAACUCCGUGCCAGCAGCCGCGGUAAUACGGAGGGGGCUAGCGUUGUUCGGAAAUACUGGGCGUAAAGCGAACGUAGGCGGCUUAGCAAGUCAGGGGUGAAAUCCCAGAGCUCAACUCUGGAACUGCCUUUGAAACUGCUUCGCUUGAAUCCUGGAGAGGCGAGUGGAAUUCCGAGUGUAGAGGUGAAAUUCGUAGAUAUUCGGAAGAACACCAGUGGCGAAGGCGACUCGCUGGACAGGUAUUGACGCUGAGGUUCGAAAGCGUGGGGAGCAAACAG